rnacentral:rRNA from 1 species
UUCCUACGGGGCGCAGCAGUGGGGAAUAUUGGGCAAUGGGCGCAAGCCUGACCCAGCAACGCCGCGUGAAGGAAGAAGGCUUUCGGGUUGUAAACUUCUUUUAAGAGGGAAGAGAAGAAGACGGUACCUCUUGAAUAAGCCACGGCUAACUACGUGCCAGCAGCCGCGGUAAUACGUAGGUGGCAAGCGUUGUCCGGAUUUACUGGGUGUAAAGGGCGUGCAGCCGGGCUGACAAGUAAGAUGUGAAAUCCCGCGGCUCAAACGAGGAACUGGAUUUGAAACUGUCGGUCUUGAGGACCGGAUAG